rnacentral:rRNA from 1 species
AUCUUCUUUAAAUUUAAAGAAUUUGGCGGUGGUUUAGUCUGGUCAGAGGAACCUGUUUUUUAAUCGAUACAACACGUAAAAUCUUACUUGUUUUUGUUUUUAGCUUGUAUACCAUCAUUAGUAGAUAAUUUUAUAAAAAAUAAAUUAUUAAAAUUAAUUAUAUUAAUUAAAUUAGAUCAAGGUGCAGCUUAUAAAUAAGUUAAAGUGGGUUACAAUAAUAUUUAUUUAAACGGAAUAGGGUUUAGUAAAGACUUUAGGAAGGAGGAUUUGAUUGUAAUAUAAAUUUAAUAAGUUUAGGAGAUAAUAGCUCUAAAUUGUGUACACAUCGCC